ncrna:unclassified sequences AdoCbl variant RNA
AUAUUGGUCUGGGAAAUAAGUGUGAAAUUCAUUUGCUGUUCCUGCAACGGUUAAAGUCCGAAUGCCAACCAAUAA